GGGUGCUCGAGUGGCGAGCGGGUGAGUAACACGUGAGUAACCUGCCCUUGACUUUGGGAUAACUUCAGGAAACUGGGGCUAAUACCGGAUAGGAGCUCCUGCUGCAUGGUGGGGGUUGGAAAGUUUCGGCGGUUGGGGAUGGACUCGCGGCUUAUCAGCUUGUUGGUGGGGUAGUGGCUUACCAAGGCUUUGACGGGUAGCCGGCCUGAGAGGGUGACCGGCCACAUUGGGACUGGGAUACGGCCCAG
rnacentral:rRNA from 1 species